GUUGACCUCGGAUCAGGUAGGAAUACCCGCUGAACUUAAGCAUAUCAAUAGGCCGGAG
rnacentral:rRNA from 1 species